rnacentral:rRNA from 1 species
UACAGAGGUCUCAAGCGUUGUUCGGAUUCAUUGGGCGUAAAGGGUGCGUAGGCGGCGCGGUAAGUCGGGUGUGAAAUCUCGGAGCUUAACUCCGAAACUGCAUUCGAUACUGGGAGUCUCGAGUUCGGGAGAGGUGAGUGGAACUGCGAGUGUAGAGGUGAAAUUCGUAGAUAUUCGCAAGAACACCAGUGGCGAAGGCGGCUCACUGGCCCGAUACUGACGCUGAGGCACGAAAGCGUGGGGAGCAAAACGG